rnacentral:rRNA from 1 species
CCUACGGGAGGCAGCAGUGGGGAAUAUUGGGCAAUGGAGGCAACUCUGACCCAGCAACGCCGCGUGAAUGAUGAAGGUCUUCGGAUUGUAAAGUUCUUUUCUAAGGGAAGAAGAAAGUGACGGUACCUUAGGAAUAAGCCUCGGCUAACUACGUGCCAGCAGCCGCGGUAAUACGUAGGAGGCAAGCGUUAUCCGGAAUGACUGGGCGUAAAGGGUGCGUAGGUGGUUUGACAAGUUAGUAGCGCAACUCCGGGGCUCAACUUCGGAACUACUACUAAAACUGUGGGACUUGAGUGCAGGAGAGGCAAUCGGAAUGCCUGGUGUAGCGGUGGAAUGCGUAGAUAUUAGGAGGAACACCAGUGGCGAAGGCGGAUUGCUGGACUGUAACUGACACUGAGGCACGAAAGCGUGGGGAGCAAACAGGAUUAGAUACCCGAGUAGUC